UACGUAGGGUCCGAGCGUUGUCCGGAAUUACUGGGCGUACAGAGCUCGUAGGUGGUUUGUCGCGUUGUUCGUGAAAACUCACAGCUUAACUGUGGGCGUGCGGGCGAUACGGGCAGACUGGAGUACUGCAGGGGAGACUGGAAUUCCUGGUGUAGCGGUGGAAUGCGCAGAUAUCAGGAGGAACACCGGUGGCGAAGGCGGGUCUCUGGGCAGUAACUGACGCUGAGGAGCGAAAGCGUGGGGAGCGAACAGG
rnacentral:rRNA from 1 species